AAUCAACGCUGGCGGCGUGCCUCAGACAUGCAAGUCGAACGAUUAAGACUUCCUUCGGGAAGUGCAUAAAGUGGCGCACGGGUGAGUAACACGUAAGUAAUCUACCCUCGAGUGGGGAAUAACGUUCGGGGACGGACGCUAAUACCGCAUAAUGCAGCGGCAUCGCAAGAUGACAGUUGUUAAAGGAGUAAUUCGCUUGAGGAGGAGCUUGCGGCAGAUUAGCUAGUUGGUAAGGUAACGGCUUACCAAGGCUACGAUCUGUAUCCGGUCUAAGAGGACGGUCGGACACACUGACACUGAAUAACGGGUCAGACUCCUACGGGAGGCAGCAGUCGGGAAUUUUGGGCAAUGGGCGAAAGCCUGACCCAGCAACGCCGCGUGAAGGAUGAAGUAUUUCGGUAUGUAAACUUCGAAAGAAUGGGAAGAAUAAAUGACGGUACCAUUUAUAAGCUCCGGCUAACUACGUGCCAGCAGCCGCAGUAACAC
rnacentral:rRNA from 1 species